GCCCGGCUAGCUCAGUCGGUAGAGCAUAAGAUUCUUAAUCUCAGGAUCGUGAGUUUGUGUCCCACAUUGGGAG
rnacentral:tRNA from 1 species